rnacentral:rRNA from 1 species
UUAAUUCCCCGCCUGGGGAGUACGGCCCCAAGGCUUAACACUCAAAGGAAUUGACGGGGGCCCGCCAAGCAGCCGGAGCCUGUGGCUUAAUCGCGCAACGCGAAGAACCUUCCCAAGGCUUGACAUCACCCGAAACCCUAGAAACAGUCCCCCCCCUGUUGUCCGGUACAGGUGGUGCAAGGCAGUUGUCAGCUCGUUCGUGAGAUGUUGGGUUAAGUUCCGCAACGAGCGCAACCCCUGUCCCGUGUUCCACAGGCCCCUUUGGGGGUGCGGGGACUCACGGGAGACCGCCGGGGUCAACUCGGAGGAAGGUGGGGACGACGUCAAGUCAUCAUGCCCCUUAUGUCUUGGGCUGCACACGUGCUACAAUGGCCGGUACAAUGAGCUGCGAUACCGCGAGGUGGAGCGAAUCUCAAAAAGCCGGUCUCAGUUCGGAUUGGGGUCUGCAACUCGACCCCAUGAAGUGGAGUUGCUAGUAAUCGCAGAUCAGCAUCGCUGCGGUGAAUACGUUCCCGGGCCUUGUACACACCGCCCGUCACGUCACGAAAGUCGGUAACACCCGAAGCCGGUGGCCCAACCCCCUCGCGGGGAGGGACCUUCGAAGGUGGGACGCGAUUGGAACGGAAGUCGUAACAA